rnacentral:rRNA from 1 species
UCCUUUGUUGCCAGCGGUUAGGCCGGGAACUCAAAGGAGACUGCCAGUGAUAAACUGGAGGAAGGUGGGGAUGACGUCAAGUCAUCAUGGCCCUUACGAGUAGGGCUACACACGUGCUACAAUGGCGCAUACAAAGAGAAGCGACCUCGCGAGAGCAAGCGGACCUCAUAAAGUGCGUCGUAGUCCGGAUUGGAGUCUGCAACUCGACUCCAUGAAGUCGGAAUCGCUAGUAAUCGUGGAUCAGAAUGCCACGGUGAAUACGUUCCCGGGCCUUGUACACACCGCCCGUCACACCAUGGGAGUGGGUUGCAAAAGAAGUAGGUAGCUUAA